UACGGGGGGUGCGAGCGUUGUCCGGAAUCACUGGGCGUAAAGGGCGCGUAGGUGGCAUGAUAAGGGUGUGGUGAAAGCCCGGGGCUCAACCCCGGGUCUGCCAUGCCGACUGUCACGCUAGAGUACUGUAGGGGCAGGCGGAAUUCCGGGUGUAGCGGUGGAAUGCGUAGAGAUCCGGAAGAACACCGGAGGCGAAGGCGGCUUGCUGGACCUGGUCUGACGCUGAGGCGCGAAAGCGUGGGGAGCAAACAGG
rnacentral:rRNA from 1 species